CAGCAGCGGCGGCUGGCGGCUGGCGGCUGGCGGCAGCGACGGCGGCAGCAUCGCGCAGCACAUUCAUUCAUACUUGUUGCUCUUGUGUGCUCGCUGUGUGUCGCUGUGUGCGUGCGGUGUGUGCUGCUGCUGCUGGUGUGCUUCACCGUCUCGUAGUCAAACUAAACUUUGUGAGGCAUUCAGUGAGGUUUUCAGUACGUCACCGACAGCGCACGCCGCCAGAAGGAGGAGGCGGUGAACAGACACAGAACACGGAACACGGAACAACAGUAGUACUUGGAGCCCCGACUCUGUGGCGCUUGCCUCUGGACGGACUCUGGCCACACAUUUUCGUCAUCCCACUGCUGCCCCUCCCCCCACCAGCACUGCACCAACCAAACAUCAAAGUGAAGUGAAUUUCAAUUGAGAAUAUUUAUUCAAGUCUCUUGUGUUGUGUGCUGCUGUCCAUCGUCCGAGUGUGAGUGUGAGUGUGUGCCUGGUGUGUGUGUGUGUGUGUGUGUAAUUAUUAAUUAGUUGCACCGAACCUCCCUCACUGCCAUCCCCAUCCAUCGUAGUAUUAGCCAGUAAAAACUUCCAACCAAAGUGACAAACAAAAAAAAGAGCAAAAAAACAAUAUGCUCAUUUUGCGACGCAGUUGAGGAAAGAAAAACGACUUGAACGACGUAUUUAACAAACAAAAAAGAGCGUAGGGAAACACUCAACAACAACAACAACAACAACAACGAAAAGAAGAAUUAAAAAACAAACCUUGGCGCUCUGGGCGACUUUUGAGCCUCUCGCACAACUGAAUAAUUAAAAUUAGAAGCGGAAAAGUAAAUACUCGCACAACAGCAACAAGCAAAGAAAAAAGAACAAGAAAAAACAGACACACAAAAAAAAACUAAAUAAAUUUCGACUAAAGAUCCCGAAACUUUUAAGGCAUAGACACAGACACAUACAAACAGUCAUGUGUGUGUGUGUGUGUGUGUGUGUGGGGGGGGGGCAUAAGUAUGGGUAUGGCACACAAAGAAACGGUGAACUUAUACAAUCAACAAUUUUUUAUUUCAUUUGAUUGUGUGCCUGUGUGUGUAGAGAACAACAACAAACUGGACUACAAGAACAACAAAUGAACUUUGUACCAGUGACAAUCAUGAUAAUGAUGAUGAUGAUGAUGAUGAUGAUGUAGGGAAUGAUAAUGAUGAAGUAGUUGUGUGAUCUAGCAGCAGGAUUUGAUACAUCAAUCAAGCCACUGAUUGAUGAAACUGAUCAUUGAUCAUUGAUCACUGAUCACUGAUCACUUUGAGAUUUAAAUUAAAUUGAUUUAAAGCUGAUCUCCUGCCAUAAAGUUUCCAGCCAAUCAAGUGGCAUAGAACAGCUUUUCCUAGUGUCCAAACAAAGGCAGAUAAAAAGGUGUGAGAAGCCGUUUCGUUGUUGGUCUACUACUGAUAAGCCCCUCUCCACUUUGUCGGCGUGCAUUGAACUAAUUUGUUCGUUGUUGUUGUUGCUGUUGUUGUUGUAGACUGGUUUUCUUGGUUGGUUUGUAUUUUUUUUAUUUUACUUUUUUUUUUUUUAUAAUACUCGUACAAGCUCUCUGUAUAUUUAUUUAAAGCGCAAAUGUUUUAGAUACGACACAAAUGUUGCUGCGAGAGAGAGAGAGAGAGAGAGAGAGCUAGAGAAGUGGCAGAGCGGGUAAAAAGAGAGCAGAGUAAGCUACAACAACUCGAACAAAAAUUACAACAACGAGCAAAAGGCAAACUUGCCUAUCAGCCCCUUGCCUUUGUUGUUGUUGUUGUUAUUCAGUGCGUGUGCUCAGCAUUUAACUAAACUGGCACACACGACACGCACACCCAAACGGCACUCACCAACACUCAGCGACAUUCACCAACACUCUAAAUACACGCAGCACGGCACACACCGCGCCAGUCGGGGCCCCGUCGGCGACAUGUGUGCUUAUAUAAUCGUCUAAUGGCUUUGUUUUUUGUAAGUAUUGAAUGCAAUUUGUUUAAAUUUUACUUUAUUAUGCACAACUCUCGGCAAGUGGCUGCGACUUUGCUGCAUCAGUAUCGUGUCGUAUGUUUGUGUAUGUAAAUGCAAGCCUCAGAACAGCUGCUCGUUCGGCAGCACAACAGAGAACAGCUGUUCGAAUGCAGUUAUGUCCUACACGAGGAAAAAGAACGGCACAAAACGAAACAAAAGAACGAGAGACAGACAGACAGCAGCAACGGCAGAGAGCAGAGAGCAGAGCAGCAGCGGCAGAGCCGAGCAGAGGCAGGCAGCAACAGUAGCCAGCAGCCAUGCGGUCCUUUAAAGCUUUUUGGGGAACCUUUUUGCGCACCAACAAAUAUCAAGUAUACGCCAAGCAGACAUCGGUGAACGAUGGUCAUGCGGCGAAGCGUUGAAGAGGGGGGAAGCGGAGCCCAGACAAGGCCACACACACACACACAAACUCACAGCUUUGGCGCUCUCUGCCUCUCUGUUUGAGUUGGUUUCUCACUCACACAAGCUCACCCACACGCGCAACAAGUUGUUGUUGCUGCCUGCGGCUCUGUCUCUCUCUCUCUCCCACACACACACACACACACACAGACAGGCAGAAACUCUCUCAAAGUUAGGCGCCGUUAGCCCUUGCUCUGCUCUGCUCUGCUCUGCUAUGUGGCGUUGCCAGACUGUCGCGCCCCCCUCAACCACAUUUACUGUUAUUUUGAUGAAUGCUAUUUUUAAUUCGAUAAUUAAUCAAGGUAUUUUUUUCCGUCUUUGUCGAUUACCAUGAGGUUAGCCUUACCAUCCCCAUCCCCCCUCCCCACGCAUCUGUAAAGUACAUGGGAAAAACUAGUGCGCAAAAAAGAGUUUUCAUUGUCGUUUACGCCUUCCAUAUACCCCCAACUUCCCCGCCACAGCUACACGAGUAGUACAAGCAGACAAUAAUAAAUAACAAAGGCGCAAUAUGCGCAGCUUCAAUACAGAGCCGCCGACAGAUACCCGCCGCACAGAUGGGCACCGCCAUGGACAUGGAGAAUAGUUUGGUUUGGGGCCUCUAUUUCGCGGAGGGUUUCGAGACUCAAGUUUGCACUGUGCUUGUCCCUGCCCUGUGACUGUGUAGUAGUUUUCGUAGUUUUGUAGUUUCUGUCUUUCCAUUGUAUUUAAAUGCGCAAUUAAGAUUGGCACAGCCCGUGGCAAGGCAAGGCAAGGCAACAUCAUCAUCGAAGUAUCCACCAAAUUGAACCAGUUUGAAUCCGAUCCAAAUCGCAUAUGAUUUGGGGUUCAAUUAUGUCUUAAACACGUGCUCCAAAAGCAUGGCAGAUGGCUGGAUUUAAUACUAAUUUAGUUAUAUUUUUGGGCUAUAUUUUCACGAUGCUAUUGGUACUUGAAAAUGCUUUAAGAAAUAUCCAAAAAUGUGACACUAAUCAAAUAAUAGUAAAAAUCCUUUUAAUCCUCCCACCCCGUACCUCUAACUGUGCCCUUUAUAAAUCCUGUUCUGUGUUCUGUGUUUUAUGACAUUUGAUGGCUUUCAAUUGACCAGACUCGGGUCGCACAUGUCCGACGAUAAUGAUCCGUUUAGUUAUUUUCGUAAAGGCAACAUUUUAUUUAUAAAUCUCUCAGCAGAGUCUGUUCUCUCUCCCUCUGGCGAUUCCCUCUCUCUCUCUCUCUGCCACAGUGUCUGCCAUAGUUAGGCGCACAGUUGGCGCAAUUAAAAUGAUGGCCAAAAGCUUUAACGUCAUCGAACAGCAUAAAUAAUCGUAAUCGCAAUCUAAAUACAGAGAACAAAUGUCGAUUAUUAACAAGAUCAGAAGAGGAGCCAAGAAAAGAACAGAUUAGGAGCGGAGGAAAAUGCUGCUGGGAAUCGUUUACUUUUCCUUGUUGGCUCUGACGUAGCCGAGCCAAUUUCGAUUUCAUUCAGCACUCGAUGACGUACAGAAUGGCCUCGCCUCGCCUCUCCUGCCCCAUGGCAUGGGUUACACUGCCGCAGACGGACAGACAGACAACCUUGUAAAAUGUUGUGCGUCAUUUGGUCUGUUGUUGUUUUUGUUCACUUUUCUCGCCACUUUCCCUUUGGGGGCAGUUUUUUGUUUUGUAAUUUUAUCUCCCAAUAGCACCAGGCCACACACAUCCCCCCAGACCUCCUCCAGAUACUAUACACUCUAUGAGUAGAGCCAUAGAUAUUUGCAAAGCUCGUGCGUCAUGGCUGGCACUUUCCUUGUAAGUUUCCACAUUUGUAACGACCCUUGUGGCAUUUCCAUAUUUGCACAACAAACUGUAACUAAUCUACGAAUCCAGCAUCGAUCUGCGGCUAGGUCGUUGAUCGCUGGCUCUUGAGAUGCACUCAUUGAGUUUCGCCAGAAAGCGACAUCAAGCGUCGCCAGUGACUAAGCCAAAACUACCCUCCCUAUAUGUAGGCAAUCGUAUAUUCCAGAUACAUUUCCAUAGCUGUACACGUACAGCUGGUCAUAGGUUUCGUUUAUGUGCUGUGACUCAAUCUGUAAAUGCGAAAUACUUAUUUCCCAUUCCUGGAAGCAAUCAAAGCGCCACAAGUUGUGACUGGAAAUUCGACUUAAAAUGCUGUGAGCUGGGAAAAAGCUGUAGAAAAUCCGUUAAUUGAUAUUCCCUAACCAAAUGCCACACUGAAAUCAGGCGCUUCUUCUGCUCAGCUUUUACGAGUACCUUGCAUCAAGUAUUAGGACACAGCUAAGACCUCCAUUCAUUCAUUCGUUCUUUGUGCUCCAUGUGGCUUUGCCAGCCCACACGUACUCGUGUGUGCAACUCGCAUAUCAAAUCCUAUAUAAUCCGUGGACGAAAAUCAAGCGAGCAUUCAUGCGACUUAUUUAGACACUCGUUGUAGUUCGACUUGAAUGAACGUGCUUGUGCUUGUGCCGUUGUUGUUGUUUGGUUUACUUCCGUUAUGACUAUAUAUAAGUGUGUGUAGAUGUGUGACCAUGUGUGUGGGUGCAUGCGCCUGCAUGUGUGUGUGUGUAUUAUGUUUUUGUCGCUGCCUCGGAUUUUUCAUUCAUUAAAUGCUACACACACACACAGACACAUGAAUAGCGAUUGCGACGACACGCACACAUGCUACAGAGCGGAGGCACUCCAUACAUACAUAUACAGAAAUUUCAUUCAUUCAUAAAUAUCAUGCAGCCAGCAGCAACAGCAACAGCAACAACAACCGCCUCCACCUCUGCCAUCGUCACCACCUCCGCCCCGUCUGCUUCGUCCGUCUCGUGUCAUCGCUCCACAGUUGUGCCUCAGAUGCGUUUGGCGUUCCGUUUUGCUGCUGCUGCUGCUGCUGCUGCUGCUGCUGCUGCUCUUUCUCCACCUAUUCCCCCACACCGCACUGUGGUUUCACUUCCAUUUACCCAAACGGUUGCUUGCUUCGUUGCAUUUUAUAGAUUUGUUCUAAAUAUCAAUGAAAUUUCAUUCAACACGCAUAACCCAGCAACAGCAACAACAACAGCCAGCGACAGCACUAUAACUGAUAAGUUCGGAACGGAUCCGUAUCUCUAUCGUUUGCCGUUGUUUGUUAUGGGGUCAGAGCCCCAUUCAAUACGUUUAGCUUCAGGAUGGUGGAUGGGGUGGAGCUGAAACUGUCGCAAUGCAAUCGCCAGAACAUAACACGGAGAGAUACGAUCCGAUCCCAAUCCCGAUCCUCACUCCACCCCACCCCACACUCUCUUGUAUGUAUCUAUGUAUUGGUGUAUUAUAUACUGGAAGUAGUUUAUGAAUGAAUGAAUGAAAUCCACACUGGACGGCACGCACACACACACACACCCAGUAAUACUUAUGGAGCGUUGAGUUUUUUUGGUUUCGGAUAUGGUCACAAUAUAUCCGGCCUGGCCGUAUAUUUGUUUGCUUUGCCCCUGGUGUGUGGGUGAGGUGGGGGGGGGGGGGGGGAUUUAUAUUUAUAUCGUAAGGGCGUUGGAUCUUCUUUAGGGUCUUCUCCUCGCUCUUCCUUCCUUCCUUCCUUUUCUUUCAUUUAUUCUUUCUUGCUUGUUUGUUGGUUUGUGUAUGUCUGCCUCUGGCUCUGCCACUCACCAAAUGCAGCCGCGCCGCGCUCACUUCCUCAUUUGUAGGGCCAACCGCACGCACAGGAAGUAACCGGAAAUGCUCCGCACUUGGUGCAUUAGUCACUUUUGUUUUCACUCUCUCUCUCUGUCCCCUACCCCCUCCGCAUGCCUAGACACUGUACUUGCUCCAGACUUUGGCUUCCGUUGAUAAAACGCAUGCCUCCUGCCCCUCCCUUUGGUCGGCCGCUCUCUUCUCCUGUCUCCCUUCCACUUUGCGCUAUUUAUGGCGAAAGUGUUUGGCGCUCCGUUUGCUGAGUUCAAUAGUGCUUUGAACUUUAGCUCUCUCUGGCGCUCCUUCUCUUUCUCUUUCUCUGUCUGGCUUUCGCUCUUUCUUUCAGCCUGUUGCCUGCCUUCCGCUGCUGUCUCUGUUUAAUUCUUCAUCUUCUUCCCUUCCGAGUCUUUCUCACAGUCGUUGUCUGCCGCCUCCCCACCCCUAUGCCAGCGCGUCUGCCUGAGAAUGCAUCAAAAAUAGAGCGGCACAUUGUCUGGCUGCAUUGUAAAGGGCGUGCAAGAGUAAGGAGUGCAAUGGCAAAGUGUGUUAACACAAGGUGACGCAUGGACAGACGUACGCUCUUGCGGUGCACUGCAGAAACACAAGACGAGAAAGUGUGCCAGAGCAUGCAGACACUGAUCGCUACUGCUUCACCUUGUACAAAUACACCUUGGAGUAGGGCUUGGGAGUGUGGGAUUCUGAAACGAUGAAGAGUGUGAGACGAAAGAGGAAGAGUGGGAGAGAGAGAAAGAGAGUGCACAACUUCCGUUGCGCGAGACUUACGCAAAAAGACGUUAAAUUUAUGAAUAUGAAUGAGCAGAUGCUUGGCUUGUUGGCGUUGUCGUUGUAGUCGUAGUCGCAGCUGCUCACAAUGACGUCGACGGCGCAGUCGCCCCCACAUUGCAUUUGAGAAUGGGGUGGGCAACGGGGCAGCGAAACUGGGGCAAAUGUCAUUAAUACAUCAGAUCCGGACAUGGAAACGGGAAGCAAAUCAUGCGUUGACAGCUAGCGGGGGGGGUGGAGAGCGCAUAUGAAGAGAGUGUAUGGGGGCCCGUGUUGGUGGCAGAGGCGACGCCCACAUUUGGGGGGCACAGCCUACAUACGUUGUACAACCGGGUAACUCCGACGACUCCUACUUGGCCACAUCCGAUUGCAGCCAGUUUGGUGUUGCUGUUUUGUUGCUGUUUCUGGCAUGUGGAAUGUGCUAUAAUUAUGGCAGCCUCACGGUUUUCUCCUACGAGUAUGUGUGGGCUCAGGAAGCAGCACAGCCGCCGUCGCCUAACAUCUUCAGAGAGGCAGCAGCAGCGGCAGCGGCAGCGGCAGUGGCAGCACCCCGGCGCUUUUGAAGCUGGCGGCGGUCGGUCAUAGACACAGACCCAUGAAUAGUACUACAUAGCACCACAAUUGGUGGCAUGUGGGUCGGGUUAGUGUGGGGUUGGACGCUUGCAUGCGCUUUCUUUUGACUCCUCCAGCCACCUCCUCGCUUCCUCAUCAGCGUCGAGAGUCGGCGGCGUCCGUCGGGCGGUUCGUUAGCGGGCCAAUUGUUGCUCUUUUUCAAUUGACGCUAUCCAACACUUGUAUGCUAAUGCAAACGGCAGGCAGGCAGGCAGGCAGGCGGCAGGCAGGCGUUGCCAUCAGCCUUACUGUGGGUCAAGAAUGGUGACCACGAUACCCUUCAUUAUACAGCUGCAUGUUUUUGCCCGCUUCGUUCCACUGUGCGCUGCACUGAAGUUUCACAGUUGCCGUUGCAGUGGCUGGCAUUUCGCCGCAGUCUUCUAGAUGGCUCUCGAGUGUGCGUGUGCCCAUUGCAGCGGUGCCGGCAUGGCGGCGUCGUCAGUGGCUUAUCUAACCUGGCGGCGGUGCUGCACCGUGCACCGCUCGACAACUGCAACUGGCGAGACACUGUUAAUUUUGUUGUUUUUUGUUUUGUUUUUGUUUUUUGUUUUUUGCUGCAUAAGUCUCUCAUGCAUAAAAUUGUACACGACAUAAUUUUUCAUGAAAUGGCUGGGAUCCUCCCGUUGCCGCAGCCACAGCCGCAGUUGCAGUUGCAGUUGCCAGUUGCCAGUUUGCAGGCCGACGUCGUCAACGGGGUCUAACCAACCUAAGUGGUAGGCCCCCGGGUACGUGGCUCGCAGCUCUCCCUCUGCACUGUAUCUCCGUCUCUAUCUUGCAGUGGUGCGAUCACCCUGUCCUGUCCCGUUCUUUUGGGCAGGUUCGGUGCACUUUUUGCCGGCUGACCGCGCUCACUCGAGUAGAAAUUAUGUGCAAUUUGUCUAGCCAGGGGUCUAGAGCUGCCACCGAUUUUCAUUCCACUUGGAGUUUUUGUUUAAUGAUUGGUCAGCUGUAUGCGCAUCACGUGCUCCCCAUUAGAUCGCUGCUAUUAAUCAUUAGGUUCGGCUGCACAUUGGGCCAACGUUUUUAUGGGAAUCACAACUAAACUAAUAAAACAAAACUCGAUUAAAUGCAGCACUGAAAAUCAUCAGCUCUAAUAUUUUUGCCAAAUUAUUCGUCUGUUUGUCCCAUGGUGCAGCGCCAAAAGUAAUUACGCUUCGAGUGGACUGAUUGGGGGGGGGGGGGGGGGNNNNNNNNNNNNNNNNNNNNNNNNNNNNNNNNNNNNNNNNNNNNNNNNNNNNNNNNNNNNNNNNNNNNNNNNNNNNNNNNNNNNNNNNNNNNNNNNNNNNNNNNNNNNNNNNNNNNNNNNNNNNNNNNNNNNNNNNNNNNNNNNNNNNNNNNNNNNNNNNNNNNNNNNNNNNNNNNNNNNNNNNNNNNNNNNNNNNNNNNNNNNNNNNNNNNNNNNNNNNNNNNNNNNNNNNNNNNNNNNNNNNNNNNNNNNNNNNNNNNNNNNNNNNNNNNNNNNNNNNNNNNNNNNNNNNNNNNNNNNNNNNNNNNNNNNNNNNNNNNNNNNNNNNNNNNNNNNNNNNNNNNNNNNNNNNNNNNNNNNNNNNNNNNNNNNNNNNNNNNNNNNNNNNNNNNNNNNNNNNNNNNNNNNNNNNNNNNNNNNNNNNNNNNNNNNNNNNNNNNNNNNNNNNNNNNNNNNNNNNNNNNNNNNNNNNNNNNNNNNNNNNNNNNNNNNNNNNNNNNNNNNNNNNNNNNNNNNNNNNNNNNNNNNNNNNNNNNNNNNNNNNNNNNNNNNNNNNNNNNNNNNNNNNNNNNNNNNNNNNNNNNNNNNNNNNNNNNNNNNNNNNNNNNNNNNNNNNNNNNNNNNNNNNNNNNNUUGGGGGGGGGGGGGGGGGGGGGGGGGGGGGGGUAAUUCUUGAGGCCCGGUACCGUACGUUGACGAUGCAACGGCCGUCGGCAUACCGAUGCCUUCGCGUCAUAGGUGGGGUGGGGUGGCUCUUCGAGUGGACGGGACUCGCCCGCUGAUAAGGUGAAUUAAUUAUUUAUUUGGUCUUGACGCUGCUGUUGAUGUUGUAAAUAGUACAAACAGUCGAAAGUCCAAAAUGCCUUUGAUUAGGAAAUGUUUUCUUGUUGGUGAUUUUCUUUCUGCUUUUUUGUUUUGUUUUCUUGCAGCAAGAAAUGGAAAUUACAAUUUCCGCUGGCUCGCUCGCUCCCUUCCUUGCGCUGUGGUAAGUGUUAAGCAUGUGACUCAAAAAUUGAACAUUUCAUGUACCGCCCCACACCAGCUAUGGAGUGGGUAUGCUCGGGGGGUAGGCUUGUUGGCGAUGGCAUCACAUGUCGUUUAUAGUUUGGCCUUUGAAUGGGCCUAUCGUGGGCAUUUUGAUAAGCUGUAGAUUGAGCGCGUGCUUUGUCUGGGCCUCUCCUCUGCCUUUGCACCUCUGUUGUGGGACAGGUGUGUGUACACUUUCGAAAUUCCAGAAAUUCUUGCGUCAAGUAGCCGCCGCGUAAGCCUUAUCAUUCCGACGAUCGUGCACUAAGCGUGUGGGGCCUUCGUUUACGUGGCUGGUGGAUGGGGGGCUGCGAGCUUGUCAAUGGAUUGCAUUGAUACUGGAACAGUUGGCAGGCUGGAUUAUAUGCGAUCCUAAAUACACCUGGCGCCUGCUGAAUUCAAGGAAUCGAAUGCCAAUCAAAACUAAAGCUGCAAAAUCGAUGACAAAUCGAACAAAUUUAUGAGGAAUUCUCGACAGCACUUUGUAGUUUUUGAUUGUGUAGAAAGUUGCAGGAAAUUCCAUAAAUUCCAAGCUACUUAAGACCAUUUCCAGGUAGCUGUCAUAAAACUUGUACGACAUUUUCCAUGGCAACGAUCAGCUCUGCGAGCUAGUUCCAGUUCCAAUUCCCAAUUCCAAUACGAUCUCCAGCUAACUUUGGGGUCUCUCCCAUUGUGGCAUUUGAUAUGCAUGUCAGACGCGACAUGCCCUGCCACUGCCACUCCUAUUCCUCACACCCCCCACAACGGCCAGCGAUCCUCAUCCACAUAAAUAACAUGUAAGGCCUAUGGAAUUUCCUAUAAAUAAGCUCAUGACGAAUAUAACAAAAAUUCCCCCUCCUAACACACCCCUCCCCAGCCCAACGACAAUGCUAUGUUUUUGCUUUUUGUGUGUGUGUGUGUGUGUUUGUUUUUUUCGCUGUAAAUGACCUCGUUCACAUAAAGUUCAGAAAUUCCAUUUACAAACUUGUAAUUGAAAAAAUCCACACACUAGAGCGGGACGAAGCGAAUGACGGUGGCAGCGGGUGGGACAGAGAUGGAGCCAGAGACAAAGUCAAACACGUUGGAAUUUGUUUUUUUUACCGUUCAAUGACGAAUUUUUGUUAGAGUUCGAUGUGUGUGCGUUUGAUGGUUGUUUACAAAAAAGAACGCCACCAGCUACACGCACACACACACACGCAACACACAUUCCAAAAAAAAAGACACUUACGAAAGUCACAAAAAAACAUUUUAAUGUUCGUAGAUUACAACAUAAAACAAAAUCACAAAGUAGAAGAAGGCAAGGGCAAGAAGGAGCAGGCGAAUUGCAUGAAUGAGCAGGAGAAUGGGCGAUGAAUGAGAAGAAGUGCGGGAUUAGCAUGAGCAAAAUACAGACAAAAAAGAACAGUAGAACGGAAUAGUAGUAGAAUUAGUAGUAGACAAUUAAGCCCUAUUCCAAAGGCAACAAAUGCAAGCCCAGCGAAAGAAAGAUGUUGCGACAAAAUGCAAAAGUAGCACACAGCGACAGCACCGAGAUAUAGCAGCCAAAGAUACAGAUACUUUUCUUGCCGGCUUGGAUCGGUUCAUAAGAUCUGCAGAGUGGAAGGGAGGGUAGGCAGGCGGGGGGUCUGUGGCAUGAACAGGGGCAGGGGCCAGUGUCAGUUUGUUUGUGGAAUGCCGUUUUGUAAGUUUCUUGUGCUACGAGUCAAACAUCAUGGAAUGGAGCAGCACGAGAAAACAUAGUGUGGUUCGUUUUAGUAUAAAAAAAAACUUUCUAGCACACCGAUACGACACACGGACACAAAUGCAGAUACAGCACACACACGCACACACUAACACGCGACGUACAACUUUUUCGAACUGCGCAGGCGCUGCCGCGGCGCUGAUUCUGCUGUAGUCGCUGCCCCAGCUCAGCUCAGCCGCUGCCGCUGCGCUGCCGCUGUCUCGGUCUCUGAAAAAGACGCUGGCAACGAAAGAUCGAGUAAAAGAAAAGACAAAUUUUCAUUCAGUAAAUCUAGCUGCAGCGCAAUGGUCGUGUUCGCUCCGCGUUGUACGCUGCGCAGCCUUCAGUAAAAAAAAAAACCAUUCUCGAACGGAUGUUUAAAAUAUUAAACAAAUUAAAUAGAUAGUGUGAACAGUAAAUAUUAAAAUGCAAUAAAGUAUGCGGCAGAAGAACAACAGUGGCGUCCCCUCUCUUCGAACUUUAAGGAGACUGACGACUCCCCUUGGACACGGCGGCCCCAGACAGACAGACAGCGGGGCUACACGCCACACCAAAACUUGUGCGACCGCAUUCCAGAAAGUUCAAAUAUCGAAAUGUUGAGGAGCAAAGCGAAGCGAAGAGGAAAGUCUGCUGUGGCAGUGGCGGCGGCAUCGUGGAAAAAUUAAAGUUAAACUCGACUCGUGUCCCUGUAGCUGUACUCGUAUGUGUGUUUUUGUGUGAGUGUGUAGUCUGGAAUGCGGUUCCGUUCCUGUGCGAAGAAUUAAGCCAAAUAGAACUCACGUUUGCGAAAAGCAACAAGAAAAAUGUCUUAAAAACUGGUUUUCAUCCAAAGACUUUGUGUCGUCGUUGGUUCCAUUGACAUCCCAGGAGCCGCUGCCCCUCCUCCUGCUGCUGCUGCUGAUUCUAACCUCUAAGCCAGAGCCAGUCCACAUGGGUAAGCUCUUUGGAAUUUGCCAGCACACACAUCUGUACGUAACAUGUACAUAUGUACUUGUAUGUAUUUGUGUGUGUAUGUACACUGUGAGAGAUGCAGAGAAGCACAAAGCAGAGGCUGGCUGGUUACAAGAUCGACUUGGGAUCGUCUCCAUCUUCGGCUUGGAGCGAGGCCACAGCGAAGUAAAAUAUUUAUUGGCUGAAAUUGGAUGCUGCGCUUCUCUGUCUCUGCCCGUGUGUCAGUGUGUGUCUGUGGCGUCUAUUUAGAAAUUCAAAUUGAAAUUUUUCAAGAGUGAGUCAUACGUACGUUCUCUCGCUCAAUCUCGGAGAGCGUGGGUUGAGCGGCAUACCAGUUUUGUUGCUUUUUUGGUGGACUUAGACUGGAGUUUCGAGCCGAAUUCGAAUACUAACCUUCAUGGGAAUGGGAACGCAGUACGGUCAUAUCACACAUAAAUUGAGCGCGCUCUCUUGAAAAAGUUGCAUCACUCAGCAUAAAACGGAGACGCGAGACAAAAACAACAAGAGUCAACCACCAGCAUAGAAUGCGGCUGCCAGACAGCCGCCGCAACAAAAAAAAACCAGAGCAGCAAAAUCAAGAAAAAGAACAGAGAGAGGGAAGAAGAAAAAACCAGUGGAAGAACCGUUUUACAGUGCAAGGCGGCUGGCAUGGGUGAAGGAGGGCGAAGCAACAGGCGAGCGAAAGACCAAUACAAAAAGGGUGAAAGGGAGUGCAGAAAAUACACUCGAAGAGAAAAAUAGUAGGAUUAUUUUUUUAAGUAUGGUUUAAUAAGUUUGUAAUAACGUAAACUUGUAAACUUGAGAAUCGGAAUGUAAUAAGUGUUGGAGAGUACCAACUCUUUGGACUGGUGUACUUCUUGUAUCCAAACCAGGCCCGCACAUACACUCGCACAGUGAUCCCGUUUGUUUUGCAGCUUGCCUUCACCUUCUUCGUGAAGUGAAGUAAAGAGUAAUGUCAGCAAAAAAGGACAGCAACAGAAUAUUAGAGUCUAUCGUCCGUGGACUCACGCACGCACCCCAGACUGUUUUUGGCCGUCAUUGCGGCGGCAACGCGAUUUCCUCCUUGACUUCAAUUUCGUUUCGUUUGUGAGGGGGAAUUUGCAUACUCAAACUUAAAAGGGGAAACAAAGAGGAGUUGCUGACCGUUUUUCUCUGUUUUUUGUUUUAUUCCACAUCAUAAAUGUCAAUUAAAAAUGAUAUUUGUAUUAUCAAGUUCCGCAGGCCCUGCCCCGCUGACGACGAUUCCAUUCCAUAAAAAUGUGCUAUAAAAAACUAACGGUUAAUGCUACGGUCUGCUGAAGUUCGUGUGUGGCUGGCUGGUAAAAAAAAGAGUAUCAACACAAAAACUAUUCCUCUGUCGUCCGUCGGCGCGGCGCGGUGCGGCGCUGUUUGGUGGUAGCUCAAUAGAAAGUUUGUGUUAAUAAAAAAUUGGAGGCACAAACACACAUACACACACACUCGGAGAAAGACAGCAAAAAGCAGGAGGAGGAACAACAGAGAGAAAAAAUACCUAAAAAACUUAAAAACACAAAAUAUGUAUGUCGAAAUAUAACAACAAAAAAGAGUGAAUGAAAAAAUGUUGACCUAAUUUUAUGCUGCGGCAGAGCAGUGGCAGCAGAAGCAACAGCAUCGCCAUGCCCAGUUGCUCUUGUUUAUUUCACAGCGGACAGCCGACGCUAGCAGAGGAGACAAGACAGCAGCAGCAGCAGCAGAGGCGCAUACUUUCCCACACAGCUUCCCAUUCCCGUUCCCCCCUUUCACAGCCAUUCCCCAUUCGAUUCCAUUCCCAGCAGCGUGUGAUCAUCGCGGGAGCAGCGCCAGGGCUCCCUUCGCACGGCACGGUGCGGUCGAACAGCUGGAACGAUGUCUAAAUAAUGAUUGUUAAAUGGAGAUUGUGUUGUUGCUGUUGGCGCACGGCAUUCCAACACUUAUACAGUUGCAAACAGUGAAAAAGACAGAGAGAGAGAGAGAGAGAGUACAGUGGGGCGCGCCUGCGCAGCAGUUGAGACUAUUUUUAAAGCUGUUAAGGUAAGAAGUGUGGUCCUCCUACUACUACACGAAUUUGAUAAACUUCUGCUCCUACACACAGCUCAUCAUCAUCAUCAUAUCAUGCCCACCCUGCCCUGUGCUUGCAUCACCCUUAGCCCUCCCCUACCUGCAGCUGUCUCAAGUCUGAGAUAUUUACAGUUCCUUCAGCCUCAGCGCCACUAAUUGUGUGCUAUUUCUGUAAGAUCAUUCUUCUUCUCACUCUACCACCACCUCUCACUCUCUUCUGUUUCUCUGCUCGGUUUUAGUUGGCGGCGGCGGCGGCGCGCGUGUGAAAAUAUUUAGGCUACGAAAGGUAUUUUUAUUCAGCCUUUUUUUCUCCCCUCACUCUUGCACGAGCAGCGAGCAUAUCUUUUAAUUUGCGCCUGCUCUUUUUUCGGUUUUUGUUUCUCGUUUAAAGUGUUAACUGGCGGCAUAUAAUUUCGGUCGGGUCGACUUGACAUACAUGGUAAUUAUAGUUAUUAAAUGUGAACCAGAGCCCAGGCACGUGCUUGAAAACUGUGAAAUAUAUUAUGUAUAUGCAUACGUGUAUGUUUGUGUAUGCAAUGGGG
rnacentral:lncRNA from 1 species